rnacentral:rRNA from 1 species
GUUCGCGGCCUAUCAGCUUGUUGGUGGGGUAAUGGCUCACCAAGGCGACGACGGGUAGCCGGCCUGAGAGGGUGACCGGCCACACUGGGACUGAGACACGGCCCAGACUCCUACGGGAGGCAGCAGUGGGGAAUAUUGCACAAUGGGCGGAAGCCUGAUGCAGGGACGCCGCGUGAGGGAUGACGGCCUUUGGGUUGUAAACCUUUUUCAGUAGGGAAGAAGCGAGAGUGACGGUACCUGCAGAAGAAGCGCCGGCUAAAUACGUGCCAGCAGCCGCGGUAAUACGUAGGGGGCAAGCGUUGUCCGGAAUUAUUGGGGGUAAAGAGCUUGUAGGCGGUUUGUCGCGUUUGCUGUGAAAGCCCGGGGCUCAACCCCGGGUUUGCAGUGGGUACGGGCAGAAUAGAGUGCAGUAGGGGAGACUGGAAUUCCUGGUGUAGCGGUGAAAUGCGCAGAUAUCAGGAGGAACACCGAUGGCGAAGGCAGGUUUUUGGGCUGUUACUGACGGUGAGGAGCGAAAGCAUGGGGAGCGAACAGGAUUAGAUACCCUGGUAGUCCAUGCCGUAAACGUUGGGCACUAGGUGUGGGGGACAUCCACGUUCCGCGCGUGGAGCUUGGGC